UACGUAGGGGGCGAGCGUUGUCCGGAUUUAUUGGGCGUAAAGGGCGCGUAGGCGGCCACGCACGUCCGUUGUGAAAUCGCUCGGCUCAACUGGGCGGGGUCAGCGGAUACGGCGUGGCUGGAGCAAGCUAGGGGGCAAUGGAAUUCCCGGUGUAGUGGUGGAAUGCGUAGAUAUCGGGAGGAACACCAGUGGCGAAGGCGGUUGCCUGGAGCUUUGCUGACGCUGAUGCGCGAAAGCGUGGGGAGCGAUCCGG
rnacentral:rRNA from 1 species